rnacentral:rRNA from 1 species
AUGGCUGAAGAAGGUGGAAAAAAAUUUGGUAGAAAUUACCUCACAUGGACAGAUGAAAUGGACAUUGCACUACUGGAGGUCCUUGUUGAGCAUCACAACAAUGGUGAUCAUGCCCAGAAUGGAUGGAAGUCCCAUGUCUACAGUGUUGUUAUAGGUAAUGUGCGUGGGAAGUGCAAUGUGACCAUCACAAAGGAAAACAUAAGUUCAAGGUGCAAAACCUUUGAAAAGCACUAUGAGGCCAUAAGCAAGAUGCUUUCUCAAAGUGGAUUUGGGUGGGAUUGGAUCAAUAACAAGCUGUCAAUUGAUAGUGAAGAUGUGCGGAUUAAAUAUGUUGCGGCUAACAAGAAAGUGGGAUUUUACAAGAACAAGGUCAUUAAGAAUUGGGAUGCUAUCACACUAGUAGAAAAAGGGUCAAAUGUCAAGCACAUUAGUGCCGGUUUGCUUUUGAGCCGGCACUAA